UGUCGGGUGGCUCAAUGGUAGAGUGUUACUUUCCUGUGAGAAUUCAUACUCCCUAUCUGGUAAAGGCUCUGGGUUCGAGUCCCAGCUCGAUCG